UACGUAGGGUGCGAGCGUUAAUCGGAAUUACUGGCGUAAAGCGUGCGCAGGCGGUUAUGCAAGACAGAUGUGAAAUCCCCGGGCUUAACCUGGGAACUGCAUUUGUGACUGCAUAGCUAGAGUACGGUAGAGGGGGAUGGAAUUCCGCGUGUAGCAGUGAAAUGCGUAGAUAUGCGGAGGAACACCGAUGGCGAAGGCAGUCCCC
rnacentral:rRNA from 1 species